CUUUUCUCAGUGAGCCUCCAGGGUUCUCUUCUGGUGAAUGUGGACUGAAUAAAGACCAGUGGUGGUCAAACUCUUCCCACAGGUGUAAUCUAAGUGGUAACGUGUAAGAAUGGAGUCACUCUGGAGGAGAUCUGAGGCCCCACCCAUUUGGCCUUCCCCUGGUCCGUAUGGGGAAAGCUGUGGCACCUUGGAGGAACAGAGAAGACUCCUCAACAUGGUGUGGAUAAGUGAGACUCUUCUUGAUCCAAAAUCCUACAACCCUGCCAAGUCCUCACCUCGGGGAAGGGGAAGCUCCAAAUCCCUUCUCAGAUGAGGUGCAGGGAAUGGGGCUGCUAUGCUCAGGCCAGAAGGGAGUGGUUUAUGUCCCUGAAACAGGGGAAGUAGGGCAGAGCAGGCAGAUGCUCAGGUUCAGAAGGGGUGGAGUAUGGGCUAGCUGAAAAAUCUACCUUAAAGCCUCCACUUUUGAGAGACCUCUAUUUCCUCUUGAGAUUUUCAAGCAUUAUAAAUAAUAAUAAUAAUAAUAAUAAUAAUAAUAAUAAAGACAGCACCUCAGACUUUCCUCAUGGUUUUCACCGAGUACUGAAGAAAAAGCAUCAGCAAUGCCCUGGAGCUGAAGAAUUCAGGUCAGAGCUAAAAAGUGACUUUGCUGACGGGGCUGACUGUUGGGUCCUAAAAAAUACCAAGAGAAACUGGGAGAGACCUUUCCUGAAAAAAACAAAAAAAUGCACAGAACCCCAGCCCAACGCAGAGAUUUCAAUUUCAUCUCCCUCUUUUUAACUGUGUUUUCCUUUAUUUGUUUUUUGUUUUUGUGGAUAACCAUUGCUUCAUACUCUUGAGGCUGGACUGGCUUUAUGGAGAUGAGAGAGAUAAGGCAAUGAAGUCACCUGCCCUUGUCAGGAGGUUCCACCAUCUCUUCAGGGGACAUGCCAAAGGAGAGAUGCCAGAUAAACAAAGAGAACAACAACAACAAAAAAAUCUUGGCUUUGACUUCUGAAAAAAAAAAAAAACAGAUGAAACUUAAAGGUGAGACAAGAGAGUUCUGAUUUGCCAGAGCUGAAGAUGUUAUAACUCAAAAGACCAAAGGCUGGAAGAGGCAGAGAAGCAGAGCACACUAGGAGAUUGGAAGAGAGUGAGUUAGACCUGCCUCAUACAUCCUCCACACUGACAUCCAGUGUUGACCAAAGUGGGGCUAUAAGAAGUAAACCUCUGAAAAGGAGAAGACCAUGCAGAACAGAUCCAUGAAGAGAAGGCUUGGGAUAGCAACCUCACUACAGUCUUUUUUGAUGCCAGAAAACCACGGAAGGGCCUCCUCAAGUUUUCUGUGCCCCUGAACAGGGCCAAGAAGAAGCUGAGAGGGCUAGUAAACCCAGAGAAAUCUAACAGAGAAGAAAGAGGAUUCACCGUGACCUUAGUGGACAAGGUGAGUACAGGUCUCUCGGUAGAUGCAGUGAGAAUGAACACCACUGGCCUAACUGAAGAUGUUAAGAACUCCAUCCAAGGGGAUGGAUCCCAAAGAAAAAGAAAACACCAGGAAAAGCCUCCCACCAAUACUGUAGCUCAUAAGCCCUCAGCCCACUUCUACUUCCUGGAAUUCAGGUACAGCCCUGCAUUAACAGAAUUGACCUGGGAGUGACUUUAUGUUUCACCUCAGAAAUGAGGUUCAGAAUAGAGGUAAGGUUGAAAAUAAAAUAUCACCACAACAGUUUGUGUGUGUGUAUGUGUGCGUGUGUGUGCGUGUGUGUAUUGCCACAGUUUUUACAGACCUGCAUUUAUAAGACUGUAAACUCUCAUUUCUGCAAUAGGCACAGAAAUAAGACAGCUCCUCCUACGGUCCAGAGCCACAAUGUGUCUCAGAGGCCAGGACUGCCUGUGGACACCAUGCCCACUGCCUGCAGCUUCUGGAAGGGGCUGCUGACAGGUAAGGGGAGGUGGACUGCAUGCUCAGCUCUUCUUCCUCCCUCUGUCCACGGCUAAGUUGCCAACUCAAAGUUUCCUUUUAUUUCACCUCUGACCUCUCCCUUGUACCCAUGCCCUCCUCUUCAUUUGAACUGCCACCACCUCAGGUCAGCCCUGUUGCCUGUCAUAAAUUAUUGUGAGAGCUGCAUGGAAAGAGGUGUCAAAUCAAAGGAAAAGGUCAGCCUUCUCUUGCUCAAUUUUGUCCAGGUAAAGCAUUAUUACUUAAAUGUUUCAUUUCAAAGAAUGACUCUGGGGAUUUAUCAAUGCCCUCACUCCCCCAAAUGUGUUCUUAUCCUGUAGGAAAACACUGAUCAAAUCCAUAUUAGAUAGUUUGGCCAGGCCUAGUAGCUCACAUCUGUAAUCCCAGCACUUUGGGAGGCCGAGGCAGGAGGACUGCUUGAGGCCAGGAGUUCAAGACCAGCCUGAGCAACAUGGCGAAACCUUGUCUCUACUAAAAAUACAAAAAUCAGCUAGGCGUGGUGGUGCACGCCUCUACUCCCAGCUACUAGGGAGGAUGAGGCAGGGGAAUUGCUUGAACCCAGGAGGCAGAGGUUGCAGUGAGCUGAGAUCGCACCACUGCACUCCAGCACGGGUGACAGAGCGAGAUUUCAUCUCAAAAAAAAAAAAAAAAAGAAUCCAUAUUAGAUAGUUAAACAUGUACCCUAAUAGGUGAUUAUUUUCUCCUGCAUUAGGAUACUGUUGGUACUGUCAUAAAUUAACUACCACCAACAGGUAGCUUCUGCUUCCCCUCAUGCUUACGUGAAAACUUUGCUGUAAGUCAGAGCCUAGAAAUGAGGUCUUUAACAAUGAAGGACAGUCUUAGAACCUCAUGGAAAGAAUCGUACCAAGUUUGAACUACUGACACUUCAAUUAACAGACUCAUUGGUGCAGGCUUCCAAGGUGGUAUUUCUUAGAUAAUUUCCAAAGGGUGUUCAUAAAAGCAAACUGUUGACCCAAGAUCUGGUGGAGCAAAAAUAAUUAUAUUGGACUAAAGGAACUGAUGAGGAAAUAGAAUUUUAGUUGUUUUAUAAUAUUGUUGGUAUUAUUUUUAAUGUUCUAUUUUCUGAUAUCACAGAGUGUUUUCUGUUUUUUCCUGAUCUCUCACCAUUAACUUAGUAGUCUGUGCUUUUGUAAACAUUUUGAAAUGAAAGAUUUUUAAAUGGUAAUCUUGUUCUCACUGGCCUUUCAGAAUUCAGGAACAACACUUUGUCUGAGUCUCUUUACUUUUAAUGGCAAUGGGGUUACUUGUAUAGAUUCAGUAAGAAUCUGUUCUCAUUUUUACUCGUAAAUAAUUGAACAAAUAGAUGGCACAGUCAAGGCCACACCUGGAGUGUCAGUCUCAUCUGCUUAAAUAUGAAGCCCAUCAUUAAGAAACAAGGGUUGUUUUUUAUUUGCAAAAUCAUGAGGCCCUCCCAGAAACCUGGACUGUUACCUUAUAAUGGCAGACUUGGAGGCCAUCUCUCUUAAGGAGAGAUGCAUUCACCCUCAUUUGUAGAUGCUACAGGCAAAAUAGUGGCAAUGACUUUAUUUUAUUUUUUAUUUUUGAGAUGGAGUCUCACUCUAUUGCUCAGGUUGAAGUACAGUGGCGCAAUCUUGACUCACUGCAACCUCCACCUCCCGAGUUCAAGCAAUUCUCCUGCCUCAGCCCCCUGAGUAGCUGGGAUUACAGGCACCAGCCACCACACCUGACUGAUUUUUGUAUUUUUGGUAGAGAUGGGUUUUCGUCAUGUUGGCCAGGCUGGCCUUGAACUCCUGACCUCCAGCUAUCCACUCACCUUGGUCUCCCAAAGUGCUGGGAUUACAGGUGUGAGCCACCACACCCGGCUGGCAACAUGGCAAUGUCUAGCCUCAGAAUAAAAGCAAUAAACAAUAUACCUAGAAUAAGAGAGGCUUCUGAAAUUUCCUAAGAUUUUUAAGAAAUCUCCAGACAGAAGUUAAUUUUCUGGGCUACGUAGUUGCUUAACACCACAUGGCUUUAGAUUUUCUGACCAGACUACAAAGAGGCUUAUGUAUAUUAGUUAACUUUUCUUACUGCAUUUAUAACUAAAUGAAUCAGGCCUAACUGCAAUGAGAUUAGCUUUUUAGAAAUCAAGAAUAAUAACUGGAGAUUAUUUGUAAUCACAGUGUUUCAUGGUUUACAACGUCCUUCCACAUCCUGACUUAAACCUCCUAAAGAGCCUUUAAACACAAUAUUCCUGAAGUCACCAUGAUCACAUUUAGAUUUGAAAUCUUCAUCAUUUAUUUGCCCUGGAAAAGACAACAUAGCUUAUAAAGAGCCAGAUAGAUAAACGCUCAUACCCCAUUCAUUCCACUCCAUUACAAAUCACUCCUAGAUUUUAAAACAUAAGCAUACACACACACACACACACACACACAGAGAGAGAGAGAGAGAGAGAGAAAUGCAACAAUUUCCAAGAAAAGCCAACUACAGCUGAGAAAGCUGAAUUCCACAGAAGGCAAAUUCAAACGUCUAUCUUGGGUCUCACCAAGGAAGGCUCAAAAAGAGGCUGAGACCAGUGGGACAACAUUACUUUCUCCAUCAUGAAAACAUCCAAAUGAGCCCAAGCUUUCCUGGCCCUCUCAGCCACAGAAGAGAAACAGUUACCCUUAGGGAGGUAUUCUCUUUCAUCUGUCCCCUGGCUCUGUGCUGCCUUACAAGCAGAAUAUAUUAAUAAAGAAAUACUUUAGGGGAGAACUCUCUCCACUGUUGUGACAUCUCUGCAGUCUCUGUUUUGAUAUUUGGCCUUGAGAAGUUCAAAGGAUUCAAAAGAUUAGAGUUCAAGAAAGACUAAGAUGUACCCCAGGGCAGGUCCGGUCUUAGAUGCUGAAAAACAGCUCCUCCCACACCAUAGCGAAUAUGACCUCUAAAAGAACCUAGUGGAUAUCCUGGUCUAACAGGAUUAUUUUCAAAGGCUCUUGUUCAUCUUUUUAAUGGUAGUUGAAGGCAAUUCGGUUUAGGGUCCCUAAAUCUGGAGUACUUACCUGUCAUGUCUGCUCAUUUCUCCAGUUUGUUCCUAGUGCCUGGGACAGAGCUCGGCCACAUCAACCCUCUGUGACCCCCCAUUCCUGCCCACGAAUUCUCUGAAGGAAACCCUCACUCACCACUCCUUUCUGCCUUGUGCUUUGGUGGCUCAGGCUCUGGGAGACAGGGACAGGGCCCAUCACAGAGGGUGGCGAGGCUUUUGCCAGUAGAACAAGCAUGGAACUCCAAUUUGCACUGCAAAAGAGAGACACAACAGGUCUUAAGAAUGCAGCCAUAACAGACCCCUACCCCGCCUCCUAAGAAACAGCAGUGCCCUUUGCUUCACAAAAGCAAAGACAAAGCAGGGAGAGGUCGACCUCAGGUAGAGGUCUCAAUUACAGAAUACUAAAUAAGAAAUGGCCUUUUAUAUUUUACCAAAUGCAGAGGAUAACUUCUAAAAACACUGUGGAAGCCCUAGAAGACUUCCUUUAAUGAUGGUAAACCCUAC
rnacentral:lncRNA from 10 species